GUACGCUGGCGGCACGCCUAACACAUGCAAGUCGAACGAAGUAGCAAUACUUAGUGGCGAACGGGUGAGUAUAAUGUGGGUAUCUGCCUUUUGGUUUGGAAUAACACGGGGAAACUUGUGCUAAUACCGGAUAAGCCUUCACAGGGAAAGCUUUAGCGCCAAAAGAUGAGCCCACACUUGAUUAGCUAGUUGGUAAGGUAAUGGCUUACCAAGGCUACGAUCAAUAGCUGAUCUGAGAGGAUGAUCAGCCACAUUGGGACUGAGACACGGCCCAAACUCCUACGGGAGGCAGCAGUGGGGAAUCUUGCACAAUGGGGGAAACCCUGAUGCAGCGAUGCCGCGUGAGUGAAGAAGGCCUUUGGGUUGUAAAGCUCUUUCGUCGGGGAAGAAAAUGACUGUACCCGAAUAAGAAGGUCCGGCUAACUUCGUGCCAGCAGCCGCGGUAAUACGAAGGGACCUAGCGUAGUUCGGAAUUACUGGGCUUAAAGAGCUCGUAGGUGGUUGGAAAAGUUGGUGGUGAAAUCCCAAGGCUUAACCUUGGAACUGCCACCAAAACUUUUUGACUAGAGUAUGAUAGAGGAAAGUGGAAUUUCUAGUGUAGAGGUGAAAUUCGUAGAUAUUAGAAAGAACACCAAUUGCGAAGGCAACUUUCUGGAUCAUUACUGACACUGAGGAGCGAAAGCAUGGGUAGCGAAGAGGAUUAGAUACCCUCGUAGUCCAUGCCGUAAACGAUGUGUGCUAGACGUUGGAAACUUAGUUUUCAGUGUCGCAGCAAAAGCGUUAAGCACACCGCCUGGGGAGUACGACCGCAAGUAACUCAAUGAUGACGUC
rnacentral:rRNA from 1 species